rnacentral:rRNA from 1 species
GCGGGACACGUGGUAUCCUGUCUGAAUAUGGGGGGACCAUCCUCCAAGGCUAAAUACUCCUGACUGACCGAUAGUGAACCAGUACCGUGAGGGAAAGGCGAAAAGAACCCCGGCGAGGGGAGUGAAAAAGAACCUGAAACCGUGUACGUACAAGCAGUGGGAGCCUCUUAAUGGGGUGACUGCGUACCUUUUGUAUAAUGGGUCAGCGACUUAUAUUCUGUAGCAAGGUUAACCGAAUAGGGGAGCCGAAGGGAAACCGAGUCUUAACUGGGCGUUAAGUUGCAGGGUAUAGACCCGAAACCCGGUGAUCUAGCCAUGGGCAGGUUGAAGGUUGGGUAACACUAACUGGAGGACCGAACCGACUAAUGUUGAAAAAUUAGCGGAUGACUUGUGGCUGGGGGUGAAAGGCCAAUCAAACCGGGAGAUAGCUGGUUCUCCCCGAAAGCUAUUUAGGUAGCGCCUCGUGAAUUCAUCUCCGGGGGUAGAGCACUGUUUCGGCAAGGGGGUCAUCCCGACUUACCAACCCGAUGCAAACUGCGAAUACCGGAGAAUGUUAUCACGGGAGACACACGGCGGGUGCUAACGUCCGUCGUGAAGAGGGAAACAACCCAGACCGCCAGCUAAGGUCCCAAAGUCAUGGUUAAGUGGGAAACGAUGUGGGAAGGCCCAGACAGCCAGGAUGUUGGCUUAGAAGCAGCCAUCAUUUAAAGAAAGCGUAAUAGCUCACUGGUCGAGUCGGCCUGCGCGGAAGAUGUAACGGGGCUAAACCAUGCACCGAAGCUGCGGCAGCGACACUAUGUGUUGUUGGGUAGGGGAGCGUUCUGUAAGCCUGUGAAGGUGGCCUGUGAGGGUUGCUGGAGGUAUCAGAAGUGCGAAUGCUGACAUAAGUAACGAUAAAGCGGGUGAAAAGCCCGCUCGCCGGAAGACCAAGGGUUCCUGUCCAACGUUAAUCGGGGCAGGGUGAGUCGACCCCUAAGGCGAGGCCGAAAGGCGUAGUCGAUGG